GUAGUCCUAGCAGUAAACGGUGCACGCUUGGUGUGAGGGGAAUCGACCCCCCUUGUGCCGGAGCUAACGCGUUAAGCGUGCCGCCUGGGAAGUACGGUCGCAAGACUAAAACUCAAAGAAAUUGACGGGGACCCGCACAAGCGGUGGAGUAUGUGGCUUAAUUCGAUGCAACGCGAAGAACCUUACCAAGGCUUGACAUGCAUCUCUAAACACGUGAAAGCGUGUGACCCUUCGGGGAAUUUGCACAGGUGCUGCAUGGCCGUCGUCAGCUCGUGUCGUGAGAUGUUGGGUUAAGUCCCGCAACGAGCGCAACCCUUGUGACUAGUUGCCAGCACGUAAUGGUGGGAACUCUAGUCAGACUGCCCAGAUCAACUGGGA
rnacentral:rRNA from 1 species